rnacentral:rRNA from 1 species
UACGGAGGGUGCGAGCGUUGUCCGGAAUCAUUGGGCGUAAAGGGCGCGUAGGUGGCCCGGCAAGCGUGCGGUGAAAGUCGGGGGCUCAACCCCCGAUCGGCCGUGCGAACUGCGGGGCUGGAGCACUGUAGAGGCAGGCGGAAUUCCGGGUGUAGCGGUGGAAUGCGUAGAGAUCGGAAGAACACCGGUGGCGAAGGCGGCCUGCUGGGCAGUUUUGCUGACACUGAGGCGCGACAGCGUGGGGAGCAAACAGG